GUGGCUUUCUCUUCACAGGCAGCUCCAGGUGAAUCUCAUUUCAUGAUCAGGACUCACUCCAUAAAGACUUCUCUCUGCACUCUGCUAGACACCAGAUUGUUUCAUCAGCUCGUGUGGUAUCAUGGCCUUACUUGCAUUGUGCUCCUGUGCUCUCUUCACUGCUUGCCUGCCGUUUGCUCUCCUGUGCACCUUUUGGACGACAAACUGGGAUUCACAGAACACUGCCACAGUCACUCGUCUACUCACCUGCCACGUUGGAUCCUGGGACACUGCACUAGCCCUCCCAGGACUGCCCCUGGUCAGGGUGAGGCCCUAAGCAAAAUGUGUUAAGGAGGUCCCCCACGGGCCAACACACAGUUAUUGGAGCACCUAAAUAACAAGUCCAUUACAAAAUGUCUUUUUAACUUAACAACCUUUAUUUGUAAGAACAAAUUGUAACUUUGACAAUGGUGGUAAUGUGCAGGAUGCUGCGUCUGUACAACUGCUGUGUGAUGUGUCUAUACUAGACCUGCUGGUUGCUGCCUCUGGGCCUGCUGAUGAAUCAUCUGCAUCUCCUCCACACAUUUUAGCAUUGACCCUGUUAUGAGAAGAAAUCUGAAAUAAAACCAUCUUAAAGCAGA